AAGGUUUGGAUGGUUUAGUUGCUAAAACUAGCUUUGAUGAUAAAUGGCCACCCAAUCGAAAAUGGAAGUGUUCAGCCUCAACCUCCACCAUCAACACAAUGGUUUGGUUCAGAACCAGCAAAGAAACUCCGAUCUGCCUACCAU